rnacentral:misc_RNA from 1 species
GAUGAAGAACGUAGCGAAAUGCGAUAACUAAUGUGAAUUGCAGAAUUCCGUGAAUCAUCGAGUCUUUGAACGCACAUUGCGCCCCCUGGUAUUCCGGGGGGCAUGCCUGUCCGAGCGUCAUUGCAACCCUCAAGCACGGCUUGUCUAAUGGGCGGUUCGUCUGCGGCAAUCCGCCGGAGACGCCCCCGAAAUGCAGUGGGGAUGUUCGCUAAAUCGCAGCGUCAGGAAUGGAAAUAAACAAUGCUGACGGCUCGAUGUCGAACGUCCACCUAAGGCGUGCCGCCCCCCGGGGUGUGCCGCCCAACCUCUCUCGGUUGACCUCGGAUCAGGUAGGGAUACCCGCUGAACUUAAGCAUAUCAAUAAGCGGAGGA